rnacentral:rRNA from 1 species
CCUACGGGGGGCAGCAGUGGGGAAUAUUGGGCAAUGGGGGAAACCCUGACCCAGCGACGCCGCGUGAAGGAAGACGGCCUUCGGGUUGUAAACUUCUUUUGUAUGGGAAGAAGGACGUGACGGUACCAUACGAAUAAGUCCCGGCUAACUACGUGCCAGCAGCCGCGGUAAUACGUAGGGGACGAGCGUUGUCCGGAAUUACUGGGCGUAAAGGGCGCGCAGGCUGUUUGAUAAGUCAGCUGUUAAAUGUUAGGGCUUAACCCUUACCAGCGGUUGAAACUAUCAGACUGGAGUGCUGUAGAGGCAAGUGGAAUUCCCAGUGUAGCGGUGAAAUGCGUAGAUAUUGGGAAGAACACCGGUGGCGAAGGCGACUUGCUGGGCAGCAACUGACGCUGAGGCGCGAAAGCCAGGGGAGCAAACGGGAUUAGAUACCCCGGUAGUC